GCCGGCAGCUAGCUCUCUGCAACUCUCACAUGGUCGCCCACUGAAGCUAAGCAGGGCUGCGCCCGGUCAGUACCUGGAUGGGAGACCACAUGGGAAAACUAGGUUGGUUCUGGAA
rnacentral:rRNA from 1 species